GCAGAUAUCGCUGUUUGUUUUGUGUAGAAGUGUGUGUACAGUAGUGCAGCAGCGGGCACUGAAACAGAGGAGAUGGAGACAGACAGAAGAUCAUGUCAGCCUUAUGCACUGUGAAGCGAAGCUUCGAAUACCUUCGAAUAUUUCUCACCAAAGCUCCGAAGCCCAAAAAAAUGGUAUUUAGGACAGCCCUAGUUAGCAAAAGGCUAAAUCCAUAGCAACAUUUUCUCUCCAUGUCUGAAACGCUUCGCCGAUAUUGUACCUCGCUAAAGCCUCGACUCACAGUGUGUCACCUCAACAUCACGGC